rnacentral:rRNA from 1 species
AGAGUUUGAUCAUGGCUCAGAACGAACGCUAGCGGCGUGCCUAACACAUGCAAGUCGUACGAGAAAUCCUGGGCAACUGGGAGAGUAAAGUGGCGCACGGGUGAGUAACGCGUGGGUAAUCUGCCUUGGAGUUCGGAAUAACACCUCGAAAGGGGUGCUAAUACCGGAUAUUGUCUUCGAAGCUUCGGCUUUGGAGAUGAAAGAUGGCUGAGGCUUGCAAGCUAUUGCUCCAAGAUGAGCCCGCGUACCAUUAGCUUGUUGGUGGGGUAACGGCCCACCAAGGCAAUGAUGGUUAGCUGGUCUGAGAGGAUGGCCAGCCACACUGGAACUGAGACACGGUCCAGACUCCUACGGGAGGCAGCAGUGAGGAAUCUUGCGCAAUGGGGGCAACCCUGACGCAGCAACGCCGCGUGAGUGAUGAAGGCCUUCGGGUCGUAAAGCUCUGUCAGGCGGAAAGAAAGUCUUCAGGAUGAACAAUUCUGGAGAUUGACGGUACCGCCAGAGGAAGCACCGGCUAACUCCGUGCCAGCAGCCGCGGUAAUACGGAGGGUGCUAGCGUUGUUCGGAAUUAUUGGGCGUAAAGAGCGUGUAGGCGGCCUCGUAAGUCAGAUG